GAUGAACGCUGGCGGCGUGCCUAAUACAUGCAAGUCGAGCGAACGGACGAGAAGCUUGCUUUUCUGAUGUUAGCGGCGGACGGGUGAGUAACACGUGGAUAACCUACCUAUAAGACUGGGAUAACUUCGGGAAACCGGAGCUAAUACCGGAUAAUAUUUUGAACCGCAUGGUUCAAAAGUGAAAGACGGUCUUGCUGGCACUUAUAGAUGGAUCCGCGCUGCAUUAGCUAGUUGGUAAGGUAACGGCUUACCAAGGCAACGAUGCAUAGCCGACCUGAGAGGGUGAUCGGCCACACUGGAACUGAGACACGGUCCAGACUCCUACGGUAGGCAGCAGUAGGGAAUCUUCCGCAAUGGGCGAGAGCCUGACGGAGCGACGCCGCGUGAGUGAUGAAGGUCUUCGGAUCGUAAAACUCUGUUAUUAGUGGAGAACAUAUGUGUAAGUAACUGUGCACAUCUUGACGGUACCUAAUCAGAAAGCCACGGCUAACUACGUG
rnacentral:rRNA from 1 species